UACGGAGGGGGCUAGCGUUGUUCGGAAUUACUGGGCGUAAAGCGCACGUAGGCGGCUUUGUAAGUUAGAGGUGAAAGCCCGGGGCUCAACUCCGGAAUUGCCUUUAAGACUGCAUCGCUAGAAUUGUGGAGAGGUAAGUGGAAUUCCGAGUGUAGAGGUGAAAUUCGUAGAUAUUAGGAAGAACACCAGUGGCGAAGGCGACUUACUGGACACAUAUUGACGCUGAGGUGCGAAAGCGUGGGGAGCAAACAGG
rnacentral:rRNA from 1 species